AACUUUCUGAAUUCGUGCAGGAAUUUCUUCAGACACCAACCCAUUUGGGCUGAUCAGACUUCCAAGAUGCGUGAAGUU
rfam:Schistosoma curassoni strain Dakar, Senegal genome assembly, scaffold: SCTD_contig0000912